rnacentral:ncRNA from 1 species
AUUGGAACCCGUUCGCGGGGUCCGUUUAAUCAGGAGAAGCCUCAUGGCCCUCAGCGUUGAAGAAAAAGCUAAGAUCGUUGCCGAACACCAGCAAGCCGCC